UACGCACUCCUACGGGAGGCAGCAGUGGGGGAAUAUUGCACAAUGGGCGCAAGCCUGAUGCAGCCAUGCCGCGUGUAUGAAGAAGGCCUUCGGGUUGUAAAGUACUUUCAGCAGUGAGGAAGGUGGGUAUGUUAAUAGCAUAUUCAUUUGACGUUUAGCUGCAGAAGAAGCACCGGCUAACUCCGUGCCAGCAGCCGCGGUAAUACGGAGGGUGCGAGCGUUAAUCGGAAUUACUGGGCGUAAAGCGCAUGCAGGUGGUUUGUUAAGUCAGAUGUGAAAGCCCGGGGCUCAACCUCGGAAUUGCAUUUGAAACUGGCAAACUAGAGUACUGGUAGAGGGGGUAGAAUUUAAGGUGUAGCGGUGAAAUGCGUAGAGAUCUGAAGGAAUACCGGUGGCGAAGGCGGCCCCCUGGACAGAUACUGACACUCAGAUGCGAAAGCGUGGGGAGCAAACAGGAUUAGAUACCCUGGUAG
rnacentral:rRNA from 1 species